GGAGACGUGGCCGAGCGGUCGAAGGCGCUCCCCUGCUAAGGGAGUAGGCCCGAAAGGGUCUCGUGGGUUCGAAUCCCAUCGUCUCCGCCA
rnacentral:tRNA from 2 species